UCUGAUCCAUCUUUUACCUUUCUGGUGUAUGUCACCAAGCUGAUACUUCAGUGGUUCUGAAGUGAAGCAUUUGCCUUUUCUUUUGGCCUUCGCAAUUUGUUUUUUUAAUUUCAUACGAUAGUUAUUUUCCUUUUCACAUGUUAUCUAAAAUUAAUAGGAGACAUGCUGGAAUGGCAUAAUCUUGGCCUGGUGUUUAGAGAACCUUGUAAUCUCAUCUUUAGGCAUAUUUUGUAAAGAAAACUUUUUUGUUUGCCUUCUCAAUUUGGUCUGAUGGAUGAUCAGGCUGCCAGGCAUUCCAUCCCUUCUCCAUUUAAUAGGCCAAGGGUUAAAGCAUAGAGAAGAGGAUGAUAUGGAGAACUGUUCGUAUGUCAUCCGGAAAAAGAGGGGAGAUGAAAGAAUAUGAUGCAUAGCAGCGGAGAUGUGCAAGUUUCAUGGGCCACAUAAUGUUCUGUCGACCAGAAAUGCAGAGCUGGCAUGCACCACAACUGUUUGGUCAAUGCUUGGGAGGAAGAGGUCGGCAAGGGUGAAGCCAAUGGCAAGGGUGGGUAGCAGGCAAGCGAUGUACCGGUUGAUCUGCUUGUAUCAGGUUAUUGAUCCCACUCUCAAUGAGACGUUCCACUUAACUCAGGAGCAUAAGAGAAAGUUGUUUCAAUUGCAGAAUCUUACCCUAUUGUCAAAGAGGUCUACCGUCUAAUAGAGCAAUAUUUUUCAGAUGUCAUGGCAAGGAGGGGCCAAGGUUUGGUGCUACUACCAGGAUAUCAUAUUAGAUUGUAAUUUCAAUGAGAUCAUGUAGUGUGAUGUGAGAAAUGUCUUCUUCAUCCAUUGCCAUGGAUGGAUGGCAGACCAAAAGGCAGUACUCGUGGGGUUGUAGCACUUUUAUAAUGUUCUAUCCAAUUCAAGCUUUUAAAUUUAUUACUUUGUGAGAAACCAAACUAUCGAGUUGUACUCACAUUUUCUUAUCCCAAAGAAGAAACCAAGUUGAACAAGGU